rnacentral:misc_RNA from 1 species
GGAUCCAGAGGGCUAAUAAUUAGCCCUCCAAAAUCUUAUUAUUUAGGAGUACUUAACGCAGAUUACUGACAAAACUCAUUUCAUAACCCCUGGGUUAAUUCGCAUGACAAAUCUAAGAAGGUAUGUUAAUCCAUGAUUAGCGGAUGAUUACUGUAGCAAAACAUGGAUUAAUUAGGCUUACUAGAUUCGGCUUGCAAAUUAGCCUAAGGAUUAUAGAAUGGGUUUGGUUAGUAAUCUACGUUUAAUACUCUUAAAUAAUAAGAAUUUGGAGGGCUAAUUAUUAGCCCUCCGAUCCAAACA